rnacentral:misc_RNA from 1 species
GGAAUAACUUUGUGAAAACUAAUAGGUAACAACAAUCCUCUACGUGCCAAUUCAGCCAGCGCCAAACAGCCACCAUGCCAUGAACCAUCGCCCUCGCUAGGUGAAAAGAGCUCCAGGACAGAUGAAAGGAUUUCAUCGGAAAGCAAGUAAGUUAACCGUGAAGUAACACGACCAAUGCCUUUUGCAGCAGACCAACGCACAACAGUAUCCCUUAAGACAUACCGUAUCACG